UCAUAUUUUUCAAAUUACAAAAAAAUCUCAAACAUUGUCAACAAUACCCAACUACAAAACCUUAAAUUUUUGUGAAAACCAAUCACAAAUUAUAUCCAAACUUCCAAUUUCUCAAAUUAAAAAGUUGAAGUUUAUUGCUAUACAAAUUAUUAGGUACUAUUUUGAAGCAACGACUCCCUCCCAGGGGUGCAAAUCCACAAUAGCACAAUAGGCAUAUACAAAUUAUUAGGCGGAGGGGAGGGCUUAGAUCAUCCGGGGGAUGAAGAUGAGAAAGAGUUGACUCCCGCGGCCUCUCGGUAGAAGGAGAGAGCCCAGUUUAUUGCUUGAGAAUUUCCUUCCAGUGGCUGGUUCAAAUUCCAUACGGAUGGUGCUCCCAAGAGAAACCAAGACUUGCAUGGUGCUGCCACGGGACAUUCUGGUAAGUUGGGGUGCUGGUGGCCUUCUCAACCCUCCUCCAAGAAGAAUUGUGCUAUACCCUCCGAGAGUCAACCAGUUUAGUUCUAAUCUGAGUAGGCUCGUAGGGAAAGCCUUAUUCUUCACCAGGAGCUGGUCUAGUACUUCGGGGCAGGGGCGCUCACGUUUUUUUGGCUCCUUCCCCGCCGGAUACGA
rnacentral:lncRNA from 1 species